ACUUAAUGGAAGGGUAAAUGAGUAAUUGCUCAGCUUGAAAAAAAAACUGUGCUCACUAGACUAACACUAGAAACAUCGUCUCUCAUCCAUAUUCUCAAGUAUCAGAAUUCUUUGAUCAAAGGUUUUCAUCGACUUCCGGUGCCUCUCCCUUGGUUUCUGCUCUUCGUUGUAACAUCUCUUUGUUCGUGGAUAUUUGUAAUAUUUCAUUGUGUGGUUUAUAUGAUUGAGAAGAGCGUCCGAAGAAACCAAGUGAAAAUAAAGUAAAAAAGAGGCCAAACUGGACAGUCCAGUGCAAAAGCGGGGCAGAAUUGAGUGGGUUUAGUGUUUCUCUUUUAACUCUUCAAGCUUUAAUGUCAUUUAAUGGUGUACAACAUUAUUUGUGCCUAAAUACCCUUACUUUGCUUGAAAAAGAAAGUAGAGGUUAGGAAAAGAGUUAAUAGCAAGGAUUUGAUGCUUAACCCUCAUCUAAUAACUUGAGCUAAGAAUAGGAUAGUUAACUUGAGAUUCAAUUGGUAGUGCUUAAUUUCACAUUCUAAAGCUUGGAAAAGUUUAGAGUGAAAUUCAUUGAUUUGGUUGGAAGACUUUCAAUGAGAUUUUUGAAACCAUUAUCUAUUAACAUAAACUCGCUCUUAGUUGUAAAAUUGUAAAAUACAUUGGAUUGUUACUUGAGAGUAAUUUUCCUUGUAUC